rnacentral:sRNA from 1 species
UCUAACAGGGCGUUGACCAUCAGGGUUU